CAGCCACAUCACAUUGAAACAUCAGUUUCCAUACAAUCAUAGAAGUUAAGCAACACUGAGCCUGUUCAGUACCUAGAUGGGUGACUGUUUGGAAAUGCCAGGUCCUGUAAG